UUGUGAAGGCGCAAGAGCAAGUUGUUGCUGGUACACUGCACCAUCUGACUCUUGAGGUCAUAGAUGCUGGAAAAAAGAAACUCUAUGAGGCUAAGGUCUGGGUCAAACCAUGGUUGAAUUUCAAGGAACUUCAAGAGUUCACUCAUGUUGAAGAUGUUCCUACCUUAACUUCUUCAGAUCUAGGUGUUAAACUGUUUUUCAGCUUCUUUUCCUCUAUAACACCUUUUAUAGUAAGACCUUAUUUAGGUACCAUCAUUUUGUUUGUAACCUUUAUGUUGAUAAAAGGCAUAUUAUAAUAAACAUUUUAAAGCAUGAGACUAUUGGAGAUUUUAGUGUCUGCAAAUUUUUUCCAGAAUGCGAUGAUUGAAUUGGCCAGAGUUGUGAAGGCGCAAGAGCAAGUUGUUGCUGGUACACUGCACCAUCUGACUCUUGAGGUCAUAGAUGCUGGAAAAAAGAAACUCUAUGAGGCUAAGGUCUGGGUCAAACCAUGGUUGAAUUUCAAGGAACUUCAAGAGUUCACUCAUGUUGAAGAUGUUCCUACCUUAACAUCCUCAGAUCUAGGUGUUAAGCAAGGUAGCUCUCUCUUAUUGAUGUUAAUUACUGAUGUGUUCUAUUCAGUGCAACCAACUACGGUUGCAGUUUUGCCCUUAUUAGAUCAAAUCAACUUAACAUAUGGCUUCCGCUGGUACGCAACAAUGUUUCUUUUGCAAAAUUGGUCAGGUGAUAUGAGUUUGUGUCAGGUUUGCGAUUACAUACAGGUACUUCUGGUGCUUCUCUCCAGGUUUCUGCUAUAUGUGCCUGUGGCUUGGGGUUGAUUAUUCUGUUAAUUCUGGCUUGUUUUGUCUUUUUUUUUUUUUGAAGAAAAAAAUAUUGGACAGCAUAUCCGGGGUGAAUCGCAAGAAAUGUUCUUCUAGUGUUCUCCAAAUUAUUGUAUCGGCUAUAUAUGGUCAUGGAAUCUUCUAAAAUCUUGAUUCUCUUCGAAAUUGUUAGAUUGAUAGUCUCUUUUAAAUUAUGCAGAAGA
rnacentral:lncRNA from 1 species